CCCGAUCCACCUAAAAAAAAUCUAUAUGCUGCAAAAAAAACCCGUUGGGGACUUCUCCGUUAUUACCUCCGCGACGCGCCGCCGCGUCUUGUGUCCUCUCCGCCGCCGCCGCCGCACUCGCGCUCCUCACCUGCGACACGGAGCCAUCUCCCCCGAGCAUCACCCACCUGCCCGUCUCCUCCACCUCUCGGCCAUGCGAGGCUUGCUUUUCCCCAGUCUAAUCCACUGAAGAAUCUGUUCCGUGCCAGUGCCAACCCACCCCGAGAAUGGCGAGAAGCGCCGCCACCCGGCUGCUCGCCUGCUCCGCUCGUCCCUUCCGCCCCAGCCACCAUCACCACCGCGCGCCUCGCCCUCUCUUCCUCCUCCCUAACUCCCGCUCCAAGAUCACCACCUCCUCCUCCAACCUUCCCCGCCCGUCGCCUGGCCGAGAGCCCGGCCCCUCACUCUUCCAUGAAAUCUCUGACAUCGUCGCCCCUGCCGUCAGUGGUGCCGCAUUACGACCUGAACUGAAUGAUGAGGCGUGUCGUGACGAUCACGGAGCUGCUGGUGUCCGGUGCGCGGAAGGUGCUCGAGGAAUUGCCCCAGAGCGUGCGACUGCGGUUUCUAGCUCUGUCUUUUGCAACAUUUCCAACACGGGCGUUCUUGGUGGUCUUCCUGACACUGCCGAAAGUGCAGUAAAUCCUGACAUUGACAAUAUCAGCGAGGCUGUGCACAGGAUCACGGAAGCUCUCAGGUCCCAGGCACCCAGGUCGUCCAUGGAGCAGAGGCUGGAGAGCCUUGGAGUUACAUAUACACCGGAGCUUGUUGGCAAGGUGCUGAAGAGGUGCUUCAAGGUGAGGCAGCUGGGGUUCUGGUUCUUUCACUGGGUGAAGCGAUUCCCGGGCUUCCGUCACACAACAGAGACAUACAACACGAUGCUGUACAUCACGGGUGAGGCGAGGAGGUUUGAUAUCAUGGAGGAGCUGGUGGGCGAGAUGGAUAUAGAGAUGUGCCCCAAGGACAUCAAGACAUGGACGAUCAUAUUGUCCAGUUAUGGGAAGGCGGGGGAUAUUGGCAAGAUGCUGUCAACCUUUGAGGUGAUGAGGAAAUCGGGAUGCAUAAGAAUAGACAGUAAAGUCUAUAGGACGGUUCUUCAUGCUUUGUGCAAUGCUGAGAAGCCUGAGCUUGCCCUUGAGUUCUACAAGGAUAUUCCCAGGAACAUGGAGGUCGGAACUGACAUUCUUCGACUUCUAAUGUGUUGUCUUGCAACAACAGAUAAUGCUGUUGAAGCUGUCUGUUCUAUCAGAGAUGAUUUGAUUAAGGGCAUGAAGCAUCCAGAGGAAUACUGCUACAUGGAAGCUCUACGGAGCUUUUGCAUCUCAGGAAAGCUAGAUGAGGCAUGGAAAGUCUUUCAGCAUAUGAAGAGCAAGUCAAUGGCUAGUUCAUCUGCAUUUGAGAACCUCCUGAGAGGGCUCUGCAAAGCAGGAAAAAUGGCUGAAGCUCUGCAGAUCGUAGAAUACAUGAAAGGUACAUUAGGUAUAAACAGUACAACAUUUGCUUUCCUCAUCAAUGGCUACCUGAGGAAAGGGGAGCAUACCAAGGCACUUGAUUUGCUGCAGGUAAUGAGAGAACAUGGAUGUGUUCCAUUGGUAUCAUCUUAUACUCAGCUCAUGCAACACCUAUUUUCAAUCGAUCAGUACGAAGAAGCAUGUGGACUGUUUGAAGAGAUGCUGAAAAAUGGUGUCGAACCAGAUAUUGUUACAUUAACAGCAUUGAUUGGUGGGCACGUUCGUAGCGGUCAUAUUUCUGAAGCAUGGGAUGCCUUCAGGAAUAUCAAUAAGAGUGGUCAGAAACCCACAUUGAAAGCCUAUACAGUGUUCAUCCAAGAGCUCUGCAAGGCCUCCAGACCCCUUGAAGCUGUAGAACUUCUGAAGGAAAUGCUGGAAUCUGAUUUCAGACCUUCAGAUGGAACAUUCUGCCGGAUAAUUUCUGCUUUACGUGACAAAUUCUAUUUGGAAGAGGGACGUAAUGUUGAGAGGAUGUGGGCAUCUUUUAAUUUGCAAAGCCCUAGUGAUGGUCUACAAUUCAAACCAUUGGAUGGCAUGGACACUGUUGAUAAGUUUGGGGGGGUACGCAAGUCUAAUCCAAAAGAGAAAGAGCUGGGACUGGAGUUCAUGGGCUAUUCUUCGGAUCAAAAUGGCAAGCUCUCCAGUUUUUCUGAUGACACACAUAAAAAAGAACAAGAACAGGACUACAGUGAUGGAGAUGUCGAAGAAAUAUGUCAAAUUCUGUCAUCUUCUGAUGAUUGGGGCUCAAUGCAACAGGCACUGGAGAUGAGAUCAGUCCAUUUCAGUCCUAACCUUGUUGAUGCCAUUUUGAAGCGUUGCAAAAGGAACAGUUGUGCUGCUUUGCAAUUUUUCUCAUGGGUUGGGAAACGAUCUUACUACAUGCCAACAACAAAAACAUACACUACAGCUAUGAAACUUGCUGGCUCUGCAAAAGAUUUCAAGCACAUGCGGUAUCUUUACAGAGAAAUGUUAAGGACUGGAUGCUUCCCAACUGUGGAUACAUGGAAUGUCAUGGUCUGUCAGUAUGGCAAUGCUGGUUUGUCUGAAAAGGCCCUGAAGACAUUCCAUGAAAUGAAGCAGCAUGGGUUUGUUCCUGACAAAACUACUUACCAACACUUGAUAAUGUACCUCACCUGCAGUAAAGGGCGGAAAGUUGAUGUGGCAGCCAUAAUCUUCAAAGAAAUGUGUCAUGCAGGCCAUAUACCUGAUAAUGAUAUAGUUUUCAAGUAUCUUUCGGCUCUAUGUGAGUGCAGGAAAAUAGUUGACGCAAGAAGCUCAGUAGUAUCCUUAUGUGGACGAGGCUUGUCUGUGCAGGUUGGGUACUCUAUAUUUCUUAGAUCAUUGUGCAGGGCUGAUAGAAUGGAGGAAGCUCUCAGUUUGUUCGAUUGUAUUGAGAAACAUGGUUGCUCCAGGGACCAGUACAUGUACGGGAGUCUCAUCCAUGCAUUGCUAAGGAGGGAUCAAUUUGAAGAUGCUGUUGCCAAGCUUACAGAAAUGAAGGAAGCAGGGAUACCUCAAAGCACCCAUAUGUAUACCUCGUUCAUUGUUUAUUACUUUCAUAAGAGAGAUGUUGUCAAGGCUUUGGAUGUGCUUAAGGAGAUGAAAGAAAAUGGAUGUGAGCCCACAGUUGUUACACACUCUGCUCUGAUCCGAGGCUACAUGGCAAUGGGUAUGGUUUCAGAGGCUUGGGAUGUUUUCCAACAAAUGAAGCUGAAAGGACCUGCACCAGACUUUGGAACCUACUCCAUGUUCAUAUCAUGCCUCUGCAAGGCAGGUAGAUCGGAGGGUGGGUUGCAGCUGAUUCAUGACAUGUUGGAAUGUGGUUUCAUUCCCAGCACAGUAAACUUCAUGACUGUUGUCCAUGGUCUAAAUAUGGAGGGCAAGCAUGGGCUAGCUGAAUCUGUGCUCCGGUCAAAAUGGCACUUGCGGAGGCAAAGAACCAUCUCAUAUUAGUCUGCUUCUCUCAUGCUCUCAAAUAUCUGUUGGGAGUUCCAACUUGGAGAGCAAGAUUCUGUGUUCACUGUGCUUUAAAAGUUUAUUUAUUAUAGGGCCUGAGGUCUCACAAGCUCCAAGACAGACUGUUUAAACAUUGGAUUCAUUUCACAGCGCUGACAGCUUUCAUGGCUCUUCCUUCGCUACCUCCAGCAGCAGAUGUUGGUGAUGAGUUGUUUGGCAACAACAGAAAUGCAAGGGCAAUGAAGCCUCUCGGGGUCGAUGUAAGGAGACCCAAGAGAAAAGUGAAUGGCAGCCUAAUCGCUAUUGCUGUUUUGUCUACUUGUGUUGUGGACGCCUUCAUUGGGAAGUACUACAGCAGAAAGAAGAAGGUGCCAACAGCCUCUAGUGGCUGAUUAUGAGUCAUAUUUAUCCAUAGUUAUCAGUUUGUUAGGCUAGAGAUAUAGAUGGAUGAGUUGGUUAGGAUAAUUGCUUAGGGAUCAAGUUGGUCGUCUCUAUAAAAGAGACGCCUGUGUAUCAUCUGGAGGCAAGCAGAAGUAGAAUCAAUUGUCCAGAGCCUCCUAGGGAGGGCGAACUAGAUCUGCUGCUGCACCAUUAUCAUCAAUAAACAGCCAGUUCUCUAGCCUUA